rnacentral:rRNA from 1 species
UACGAAGGGGGCUAGCGUUGCUCGGAAUCACUGGGCGUAAAGGGUGCGUAGGCGGGUCUUUAAGUCCGCUGUGAAAGUCAAAGGCUCAACCUUUGAAAGCCGGUGGAUACUGUGGGGCUAGAGUACGGAAGAGGCGAGUGGAAUUCCUGGUGUAGCGGUGGAAUGCGCAGAUAUCAGGAGGAACACCAAUAGCGAAGGCAGCUCGCUGGGACGUCACUGACGCUGAGGCGCGAAAGCGUGGGGAGCGAACAGG